UAUGGGAUCAUGCAUUUGGGCCCUUUAUGCCACUUGAGUAAGGGAGUUAGUGAAGUGGCAGAGUCACAUCUGUUGAGACUUCUUGAUGUACAAAUCCCUGGCAGUAUUGGUCCAGAGCCAUGGACACUAAUAAGAGUACUGAGUCUUUAAAAUUUUACUAUGCAUCUAUGUAUACAGUAAGUAAUGACACAUAAACACUUGCAGGAAGAGAAAACGUAUACUAUUACUAGAUAUAUUUUGCCACCUGCUUUAUCACUAAAAAAAAAUCAUGUUUCUGGAUUAGCAGCCUUUUACCCAGAUUCUGGACCUCUUUACUGUGACAUCAUAAAGACACAUCCUUAUGAUAUCAUAAAGGCCCAUACCCUGGUCUCACAUGGAGAUUCCAUACAAUCUGCUAAUAUGCCCAAGGUUGGUCAUCUAGCAAGAAUACACUACAUAUGAAAGGAAAAAUUGUAAAUAUUAGUUCCCAGGCCAAAACAUGGGUUGCCUGGAAGUCUGGCAACUCCAUUGAGAAGAAUAUUGAACUCCUAUGUCCUUAACAGCAGUGAAUGUGGAGGGCAGACCAUACUGAGCAUCAGCAGCAGUGGGGCCAGGGGAGUGACAAUGGCAGAGGAUUUCUCAGAGAAAACAGUUGGCUUGAAAACAGUUGGCCAACUCUAAAGAAGGUCACACUGCAGAGAAAAAGAUACUCCUGGAGCUUUACCUUGAAAACCAUGUGAUGAGGCAUUAUGACAUGAAACAAACAUUUUCCCUGCGCAUUCUGAAAAAGUGACAAACUCCGUUGUCACUGGAAGAGUGAUGAACUCAUAUACCCCAGGGCUUGUCCAAAUUCUGUGAUGAAAAUGACAAGCAUCAUACUGAUACUAAUGCUAUAGAAAUCCCACCUCACUUUAGAGUUACCAAAAUCUCAGAGGAAAAAGGGUCCAUUAUGAGACCUCAUCCAAAAGAUGAAUAAAAGCCAGAGUGGAAAACUGGAAACCUGCGUAAGUUGAAUUAUAUCCCUUUUUAGUUAUCACUUCAUAGCUAGUUAUGAGGCCCUUAUAUUUCAUUUCCACUUGCCAGAUCAACCCUUUCUGCCCCCACUAUCCCCCAAGAUAUUUUGCUAGUUUUUCCAAAAAGCUUCCAAUUACAUAUGCUGUAGAACAUUUACAAAGCAAACUUGUGAUUUAGGUUUUUGAAGCCAGUUUGCCUUGGGGAUUUUUUUUACUGAAAACAUAUUCACCUUCUGUGUAAGUGCUAAUAGCCCUAAAUUUCCAAGUCAUGUUCAGGGCAGAGAGAGUGUAGUAUUUCAGUAUGAGCUGUGCCCUGAAUGUUUUUUGAAAAUGAGUCACACAGCUAAGUGAAGUUUAGAAAAGUGACAUGGAACUCACAGUUUCUAGAAACAUACAAUGGAAACAGCCAGAAGCAAAUAACCAUGAGCAAAAGGAUAUGUUUUUUCCAUGAACAAGGGAUAUGAAUUUGGCAGUGGAGCUGUAAACUAAAUGGUUCUCCCUUUAUAGCUAGCUCACUUUUCUUUGUUGUCCUUUAAAUGGAGAAGGUUAAUGACUCAACCUAAUUCCACAUGCAGAGGAACUUUAUAGUUUUUCCUUUGGUUAACAGGUAAUGGAUCUACUGGGAUUUUCUAAAGGAAUGACUGUAUACUGGAUCACACUGCUCACCCUGGAAAGGAAUGUGCAAGAAAAGGUGCCAUUCCUGACCAGCUUUUCCACCUGCAAAAACAUUGCUUAAAAUACCAGUAGCUAUGAAGGCUUUCAAGCCAGCUCACCGGUAGUCUAGAUCCUAUUCCAUUUUGUCAAAUAAAAAAGAAUAUCUGCGAUUUGUCCUUUAAUCAGUAUUAAAUAGCAGCAGCAGCAAUAUUCUUGGACAAGUUCCAAACCAAUAGGUAAAGGUAAAGGCAAAGGUUUCCCCUGACGUUAAGUCCAGUCGUGUCUGACUCUGGGGGUUGGUGCUCAUCUCCAUUUCUAAGCCAAAGAGCCAAUAGCAGUCCAAAAUUAUGUCAGCUUGUGGAACUGUGAUUAAUAAUGUAAUGAGAGUAUAGGAUAAGUGAACCUGUUGCAUAAAGGACAAAGAAGGGAUGGAUGAGGAUUUUAUUUCAAUGUGAGUUUGAUAAGAAUUUCAAAAAUUUGCAAAUUUCUUUAUAUACAAGUUGUUAAAAAACGGGACUGGAGAAACAAAUGAAAAUAGACAGAUUUAUUAAUCCAGACAUAAGGCAUGAGUAUUGCUUUCUUGAAAAACUGGGUCAAACUCCCUGUGAUUUGAUCAUCUUAGCAUUGAUUCCGUUUCUCAGAUCUUUUUUUCAUCAUCAGAAACUUCUCAUCUUUAAAACCUACACAACAGGCUGAUACUAGUUGUUCCUCUACUACUCUCUGUUGUUAAAAAUUGUCUCUAUAAAUUUGGCUGAGAGAGAAUUGCUUGUGGGUGAGUAUUUUGUGUUACUUAACUUCUCAAGAAUGUAACAUUUCUUCACAUCUGAAAUGGAAAUAUAAGAAUAGAAGUGACUGCUGAAAAUGAAUUGGAUCAGAGCAUGUAUGGAUCAGAACUUACCCCACCACCCAUGCUGGAACCUCAAAAAAUGCCUCUUCUGCUUCUCAUUGCCAGUAAUUUUAGAAGACAUGUUUACCUCAGGACUAAAGCACAAAAAACAAAUAUUAUGUUAACUCUCCAUAAUUACUUGAAUUCCAUUAAAAUUCCAACCAGCAUCUCUAAAAAUGAGAAGACCCAGGUUCUGUCUACCUUAUAGGGUUGAGUGCAAAAGGAGACAUGAGCAAGCCAUGUUCACUCUUUGGAAUAAAGAUUCUAUUUCUAAAUCUGUAGUUUUUCUCUGCCUAUCUCUUUAUCUCCUUUCCAAUGAAAUGCUCCAGCUAAAUUAACUGAAGGACCACAAGGCAACUGUAGCAUAUUCCCUCUUGCAGGCCUUUCCUGAUGUUCACGCUGAUAAUAUUGGACAGAAUUGUCUGAGUCCUUAACAAAGUCAAUAGAAUAAACAUCUGUUGCCUUUUGCAACUCUGCCAUUUCAACGAGCCUUAUGUUGGAUAUAAGUACAGAUCAAAUUGUGCUGAGUUUUUUCACUAAUAUGGAUCCUGGACAUUUCCUGCUUUGGAGGAGAGCCUAAAACAGCUCUAGGAAAACCAUGAUAACAUUGCCUCUUUUGCCAAGUAGAGGGUGCAGGGGUAGUUUGAGGGUAUGUGAAUUGAAGUUCAGAAAGAGUCACGUGCAGUCUGUGCAUGAUAGAUAACUGCCCAUCCCUGUCACAGAGUAUUGUAGAGAGAGAUCAAACAAUUAGAAAUGUGAGUUGCACUACAUCAGAGGUUGAAGUUUCUCUGAUGUAGUGCAAGACCCAAAAUUAAAAGCAAUAUUGGCGAAGGGUAAGUGUGUAAUCUUGACCUUAGAUAAAUACUAUGCAUAGGGUAUAGCAAGAAACAAUAUUAUAAUGUUGUCCACUUAAGGAGUGUAGUGAAGGAAAUCAUUGCAACAUUUGCAAUUAUGUUAGAAUAAAUGCCCUUUUGAUACAGGAACAAUAGCACUUCAAAUUGUGCUUGAGUUAAAGAGGUUGUUGAUAUCAGGAACUUAUAUAUAAUAACAAGGUGAGCGGGGCUGUCAAGAAGCGGAACUUGUAAGAACUGUCAACAAUCACUUGCAGAGGACCACCAGUUGUAGAUCUUUGAACAUUAGUCAGUAACUUGAUGCUUCAUUCUUAGCUUCAGUAACUCAGACUAUAUAGUGUGCUACAAAAUCUCUUGCAGCAUCUGCUGCCAUGUCAUUGCUGGGGGUUUGUCUUGAUUUAUAGAGGCUAUAAAAUGUUGUGGGCCUCUAAUAC